rnacentral:lncRNA from 1 species
UGUUUUCUGUUAUUUUCCUUCCUUCUUUCAUAUGUUUAACUUGAUGCUUUAUUUUUGAAGUAGAUUUAAAUAGUUGUCUUCUGCUUUUUUUCUUUUCUAAUAUAUUCACAUUUAAGGCUUUAAAUGUUUAUGGAUUGCUUUAGCUGCAUCCCACAAGUCUUGAUGAGUUGUAUUUUUACCAUUGUUAAUACAUUUUCUAAUUUCCAUGGUGACCUUUUGAUUCCUGAGUUAUUUAGAAAUUGUUUGGUUUAAGCGUAUGGAACAUUUAAUAAACUUUUACUUCUAACAAUGCCACAGUAGUCACAAAACAUACCCUGAAAAAUUUCAAACUUUUGAAAAUUGUUACAACAUUAUAGCCCUAGACACGGCUAAUUUUAUAAAUUUCCAUGUGCAUCUGAAAUGAAUGUAUAUUCUGUGGUUNUUAAAAAUGAAGUAUUUACUAAAAUUCAAAUUUUUAAUAAAAUUUGUAUCCAUAAUUUUAUUAGUAAUCACAAUGAAAAUUUUAUUUCAUUGUGUAAACAAAAUUGCUAAAGCAGAACAGAGGCAUUUGAAAUAUAAGGAUGACAAUGUGGUUUUUUUUAAUCAGACCCAGAAAUAAAAUAACUCUAGAGGAUUUUACUAAUCCUUUGGUUAACUAGUAGUCUGCUUUAGACAGCUCAGUCAUGUCAAACUUUCAACAGAUUAAAAAAUAUGAAUUCAGGGGGGCACAGUCUUUGAGGCAUUAGCCUGCUAUGACCCUCAUUUGCCUGGCAAAGCAAUAAAGCUGUAUUUUCUUCUUCGCCCCCUGCCCCCCACUGCCCCAAAUAGAUUUAGGAGUUCCUGUCAUGGCUCAGCAGAAACAAAUCUGACUAGUAUCCAUGAAGACACAGGUUAGAUCCCUGGCCUCACUCAGUGGGUCAGUAAUCCAGCAUUGCCAUGAGCUGUGGUGUAGAGAGAACCAAAUUGAGAGUUGAGCAACUUGGCCAAAUAUAAACUCCUAUUUCACAUAAGUUUAUUUUAACAUGUAUUAAAUCUAGUCUGGAUAUAGACUUCUUUCUCAUACAAAGUCUAUUUGACUUAAAUGUAUUUUUAUUUGUUGGCAUAUAUACAAUUUUUAAAUUAUUUUUCCUUUGAAUUUUAUUAGUAAAAAUAUCCUACUGGUAUUCAGUCUUUUAAUGGCCAGAUUUCCAGUCUCGGAAACAGUGUCUCUGAUGUACUUUACCAUUAACUACUCAUAGAAGCAGGACAUGUAUUAUAGGAAAACCUAUGAUUUCAAAUUUAAUUCCUUCAAAAUAUAAGUUCCAUGUUUUGGGGCAUAAACACUUUACCAGUCCAAUUCAGCUUUACUAAUGUGAUCAUUACAGCAAAAGAAAAUACACCCAAAAUGGUUGAUUUUGAAUGAUGAAAUUAUGAGUAAUUUUUAUUUAGAAUUUUAAAACCUUUACAUGUUUUGUAUAAUGACAGUUUUCAUUCCCCCACCUUUGUCCUAAAGCCAGUGCCUCAGAGGCUGAGUGCAGUGAGGAAGCCCUCCUCCUGAGUAAGGGAGGAGAGGAGCACAAUAUGGGGUACUGGAACUCAAAUGAGAUGAAGAGGGUGUCACACAGGAGUGUGUAUGUGUAUGCAAAUUUAAAACAUAUAGGUAUACACACACAUAAAGCCCCAAAGCUUCAUCCACUGAGAAGGUGUGGUGGCACAGACAUCCCAGUUAUAACAGGCACAUCUCACACAAAUUGUAGUUUCUAACUAACAAUUUCCAAUAAGAGGUAGAGAAACAGUUGAUUCCAGAGCUGGAGCAGGAAAGUAAAAGAAAGUUUGGAAAAACCUGUGUGCUCAAAAGUUAGAAAGUACUUAAAAAAUGAUAGCAACAUGUCAAAAAGACAUAGGAGACAACUUGAAGGGGCUCCCACUGGUCAAUGGCAAGACAAUGUAAGACUCAAAUAAAUAACAGAUUAUAACCCACUGACUAGAAAAACCAUGAAUUCAUACUGAUAUUAAUAAACUGAAAUUUUGAUUAGUGGCAGGAUAUAUGCAUAGCUUCAAAAUACCUCUCCACAAAAUACUUACAAAGGGACAAAGUAACUUUACUGUGGAGAAGCCUGAUAGGAAAUACCUUAAGCAAAUGCUCAUAAUGACUAUUAUCAGAAAGGGGGGCAAAAUGAAAUUGUGCACCACUAUCUCAUAGAAUGCAAUAAGAACACAGAACUGCUUUUCUAAUACCUCUG